rnacentral:other from 3 species
UGUUUCCUGGGGUGUUCGCCAACCCACUAUUUUGAACCUACAUUUAUUGACAGGGAUUCUUAUAUCUGUAAUCUAAUGUCAGGCCUCCGGUGACAUAAUUGUCACGGUGCGCAUUAGCGCAUCAGUCAGUGGAAGGCAGCGGAUUGCAUGCGGUUACCCACCUAGCUUUGCUAGGCGUCGAGAUCGUGGGAAACGGCAUUUUGGGAGCAUU